GCCUCAUGGUCGCUUUCUUCGGUGGGGUCGGUUACUUCAUCUGGAAGGAUUCCCAUAGCCGCAAAGGCUGAUCCUCCCGGAUACACAGAGCACGCAAGGCA
rnacentral:sRNA from 1 species